rnacentral:lncRNA from 1 species
GCUGGUGGAGCCCUUCCAUUGUCAAAAUUCAUCUGGGAUCCAUCCACUGUAGGAGUUCGGCUGAAAUCUGGUUCUCAUAGGAGCUCGGAUGGAAUCCGAAAGGUGGUCGACCAUCGUAGAAACUUGGAUGGAGUCUAGUUACUGUAGGAAUCCCAUUGUCGGAGAAGUUCAGACAUUGACGAAGUUCGAAAGAAGUUCGGAGUAGAGUCG